rnacentral:rRNA from 1 species
UACGGGGGGGGCAAGCGUUGUUCGGAAUUACUGGGCGUAAAGGCUCGUAGGCGGCCAACUAAGUCGGACGUGAAAUCCCCAGGCUCAACCUGGGAACUGCGUCUGAUACUGGAUGGCUUGAAUCCGGGAGAGGGAUGCAGAAUUCCAGGUGUAGCGGUGAAAUGCGUAGAUAUCUGGAGGAAUACCGGUGGCGAAGGCGGCAUCCUGGACCGGCAUUGACGCUGAGGAGCGAAAGCCAGGGGAGCAACGGG